CUGAAAACAGCCCAAAUGAGGUUCACGUGUCACUGUGGCGUUCGCCUUACAGGGGUAGUACCCCUGUUUCAACACCUGAGGCGGUGCGUCAAGCGCCGCCUCUUUCUAAUCAUAUAUUGCGAUAAAUGUGGAGAAAGGCUGGUGGGAGGCCAGGCCGUGGCCGCACACCUGGCGGGUGCGGCCCAUCGGGCCCGUUACUGGGAGGGCCGGCAAGUCGGGCUGCUGUUGCAGUCCGACUACCGGGACGCCAUGGAGCGUAUCCGGACCCUAUGACGUAUGUAUGAAGGUCUGGAGCUAGCUGCCGUCUUCGGGAUGUGCCAUUUGUUUUCAAAAUUAUUUACUCAUCCAAGUCAAUUAUUUAAAUAAAAGUGUAUUAUAGUAAACAGUAUUGUGUUUUGUUAUGGUGAAUAUGUGGGGAAUGGUGGACAUGCCUUAGUGUGACUGGAUACCCGCGGGUUGUGACUCUUUGCUGGCCACUCUGGAUUCUCCA